rnacentral:rRNA from 1 species
AUCAUUAACGAGUUAGGGUCCCUCGCGGCCCGACCUCCCAACCCUUUGUCUACCUGACCACUGUUGCUUCGGCGAGCCCGUCUGUAAUGGACCGCCGGGGGGUACCUUGAUCGGCCCUCUGGUCCGCGCUCGUCGAUAGCCAAACUUUUAAAAUCUUAACCAAACGUGUCUCAAUCUAAGUAUUAUUUGUUAAAUAAAAGCAAAACUUUCAACAACGGAUCUCUUGGUUCUGGCAUCGAUGAAGAACGCAGCGAAAUGCGAUAAGUAAUGCGAAUUGCAGAAUUUCAGUGAGUCAUCGAAUCUUUGAACGCACAUUGCGCCCUUUGGUAUUCCGAAGGGCAUGCCUGUUCGAGCGUCAUUAUCACCCCUCAAGCCCCCGGCUUGGUGUUGGACGGUUUGGUGGAGGCCCCCUCGCGGGGCCACCGCCCCUCCCAAAGACAAUGACGGCGGCCUCGUUGGACCCCCGGUACACUGAGUUCUUCACGGGACACGUAUCGGACACAUGGGUUUACGGGACACGGUCUGCCUCCCCUCAGGGAGAAUCUUUCUAAGGUUGACCUCGG